UUUCGCAAUGCCCGAAAGGGUGACGAAGCGACGCCGCGUGCGGGAAGAAGGCCUUCGGGUUGUAAACCGCUGUCGGGAGUUAAGAAAUGUAAGGAUGUUAAUAGCAUCUUUGCUUGACUAAGGCUCCGGAGGAAGCCACGGCUAACUCUGUGCCAGCAGCCGCGGUAAUGCAGAGGCGGCAAGCGUUGUUCGGAAUUAUUGGGCGUAAAGAGCACGUAGGCGGCUAUGUAAGUCGGUUGUGAAAGCCUUCCGCUCAACGGGAGAACAGCAUCCGAUACUGCAUGGCUUGAGUGCGGGAGGGGAGAGUGGAACUUCUGGUGGAGCGGUGAAAUGCGUAGAUAUCAGAUGGAACGCCGGCGGCGAAAGCGGCUCUCUGGCCCAUAACUGACGCUGAGUGUGCGAAAGCUAGGGGAGCAAACGGGAUUAGAUACCCCGGUAGUCCUAGCCGUAAACGAUGGGCACUAAGUAGAGGGGUUUUAAUCUC
rnacentral:rRNA from 1 species